AGCUAAUGUCACUGUCUCAGAGAGAAUCGGCUGUUCUUACAUGUAUUUCACGAUCAUUCAUGUCUCUUGAUAAUUUAGUAACACUUCGAACGCAAAAAGUAAUAACCAUUUCGCUAAGUAACUAGAAAAAUAAAUGAAAAUGAACUUUAAUUUUACGGCUGCUUUCUCGCUGCUCGAAGCGCUAGUGUGGCACCAACUGUCAGAAGGUAACAAUUUUCACAGGAGUGGGUGUCGCGACUGUUUUGUUAGACAGUGAUACGAAAUGUUCCGGAAUUCGCGUAUGAGGGCGGCCACACACUUAAUUGCAUGCUUGGCAAGCAUGCUUGAGCAAGCAUUUAUAAAUUCAUGGCGCAUGUACACAGUUGAUGUAUGCUUAUACAAGCAUUAGUGUGUUUAUCAAAAAAUGUCGAGCUAAGACGACUAUGCGCCGUCUUUGACAACGUUUUUGGUUGUGUUACGAAAUAAAGAUGAACUGUUGUGUGUGUAGUAGAGAGAGGUUAAUAAACGAAAACAUUAUUCCCAUAUUAACUACUUUUGGUAGACACGCUAUGGAAACUUAUCACACAGCACUGUUUAUUUUCUUUUCUCCUUGUCCAUGCAAUAUGUGUUCUUUGACUCGGCAUUCAGAACAGUACAACUUUUGUGCAGAACAUAAUUUAAGAUAAACAAAUGUAAAUUAAAUCAAGCUAGAUCACUGACAGAUGAUAUCACAAGGCUUCCUGUUCUUGGUAAACACGCUCAAACAUAUAGACGUUUGAACGCUUGUACAAAGCAUGCAUAAUCGAAAUACUAUCAAGCAUCAAGCUGCUUGUACAGUCUUAAUCCUUGCGCAAAUUUUUUGUACACAGGCGUAAGCAUGUUUGGGCCAGUACAUUUGCGUCAUGCGUGCUUGUCGAGCAUUUAGUUAUAGGUGUGGGGUCACAUUAAAACGUAAUCUGAGUAUGACGUAAAUCUGAGUAAUGUUGCAAGAAUUGCAUUUUACAGCAUCGAAAUUGUACUGGAUCGUACGCAAGGAUGUUAAUGAAGUGUGAAAUAAUAGUUUGGCACAUGCAUAUAAGUUUUGUUGGUAUAUAAUGGAGCAUUGUGCUGCAACAUUUUGUAUAACUAGGCUAGCGACUAGAAGAUACAGCAAAUCACGAGUUUUACUGUUUUUGUGCCUUACAACGAUGUUUCGUUUGUGUUCCACGCACUGUACUGAGCUUAAAAACCAUUAGUACUGACAACUUUUUGUUGUGCCAAUCUGCGACUCAGCAUCUCUGCUCUAUGAUGAGUAGCAGCUGUCCACUUUAUAAUAUUGUUAAAUUCCACCCUGGAUUUUCUUUUGAAAUAAUGAUUUUUGUUAUAGUUACAGAAGCACACACCUAAUUUUAGAUUUGAUGAAGACACUUUUUGGAGGGUGUCAUAAUUCCUGCAGAAUGUCAAAUGAAGAUUUUUGCAUAUUUGCUAUCGAAAGUGGAAGUGUUGGUAGCGAAACGGAAUACCAAGUGGAGAAAGGUGAUUGCACCAAAUUAUCGACUUGCUAGUGCCCUCACGUUUCUGGCAGCAGGAGACAGUUUUAAAAGCCUUCAGUACCUAAUUAGAGUUUCGUCACAGAUUGUUUCGAGUAUACUUCCAGAGGUUUGCAGUGACAUUAAAGUGCUGCAAGGAGAUGGAAAGAUGCCAAAAACAUGUACAGAAUGGACGAGAGUUGCAAUAAUGUUUGGAAAAUCUUUGAAAUUUUCUCCACUACAUUGGUGCCACGGAUAGACGCUGUAGCUGUACAGGCCCCUGCUAACAUGGAUGUGAAUUUUACAGUUAUAAAUACAGCACAAAUACAUUUGGGCUAUUGGUCAAUGUAUUUAAAGUGCUUUGGAAACCAAUGCUGCUUCAGCUAGAUAAAGGGUGAGGGUUGCCCAGAAAGUAAUGUUACAACAAUGCUACAUGAGAGAAACAUUACAUAUGUACUAUUUGUAAUCUCCUAAGUGAGUGCACCGCAUUUGUCACUUCAGACAGACAGCAUAGCUGCAGAGCAGUUUCAAAAUGGCAUUUGCAGGUGAUGUACAGUACAAGCAACAUGCAGUUAUUGAAUUUCUCACUGCAGAGAAAGAAACUGUGGGGAAUAUUAACAAAUGCUUAUGCAAAAUCAGUGGAACAUCUGCUGUCAAUAGAAGUACAGUUAGUCACUGGUCGCGGAGGGUGAGGUCAUCGGAAGGCGGUUUGGCAGAGAUCCACUAUUUGCAGCGGUCAAGCAGGCCAUCCACGGCUGUAACACCUGAUAUGUUGCAACGAGUUGCUGAUGUCAUUCACGAGGAUAGCCGCAUUACAACUCAGCAGUUGGUGCUGCAUCUGUUAAUCAGAAGGAAGUGUGGGUGCAAUUGUCCGCACUUUUAGAUAUUCAAAAGUGUUUAAAAAAUGAGGUCUAACAGUAGAUCACAAAUUGCACAGAAAAAACGUUUGUCUUGAUUUGUUUCAAAGUUUUGAAGGAGCCUUCUUGUCCUGUAUUGCGACAGGUGGUGAAACGUGGGUUCUCCAUUUUUAGCCCAAAACAAAAUGACUCUCGAUGGAAUGGCACCAUUCAGACACCCCACAGAAGAAAAAAUUCAAAGCAACUGCUUCUGCUGGUAAGGUUAUGAUCGCCGUUUUCUGGGACUGUAGAGGUGUGAUUCUUAUUGGUGUGUUGCCAAGAGGCAGUACAAUUAAUUCAGAAGCUUAUGUCAACACAUUAACAAAACCCAAGAUGCGCUUCCGGCGACUUCAGUGCUAUAGCAUUCCAGGAGAUUUUUUGCUGCAACACGAUAACACUUGGUCCCAUACAAGUCUUAGGACUGCUGAACAGAUCGCAAAAUGGGGUUGGACAGUUUAUCCCAUCCACCCUGCAACCCUAACCUAGGCCCCUCGGACUUCCAUUAAAGGAUGUCAUUCAUGAAAGACAUUUUUAGGACGAUUAGGAUGCGAUUCACAUAGUGAAGCACCCGGCUGUGCUACCAGGACAAGGAUUGGUACCAACACGGCAUAGGCGGGACAAGGAUUGGUACUAACACGGCAUAAGCGCUCUUUUCACGCUGGAAGCCAUAGAACAGGAUGGAGAUUACAUGGAGAAAUAGGGUGUGUUGAUAAAACACCAUUCGUUCAUGUUUGUAAUUCUCAUUAUGUUCGAUAAAUUGUUGAAGGAAGAAAAAUGUGGUGCAUUAGUUUCUGGGCAGCCCUCAUGCUAUACAGCGUUCAUGGUGUCAGAUGCAUAAUGACUGGACAUAAUUAAUACUGUUAAGAAAUAUCCCAAGGAAGACUGGCCUUGAAGCAGAAAUGAAUUUGCUGAGCACUUGUUAACUACUAGAAAAAUACCGUGGUAAAACAAUUGCAGCCACUGUCAAUGUAGACUAUUUGUUCUGUAUAAUUUCAUUACCCAAAUAAAAAUGGGUCACAGUAGUUAAGUUUUGUGUUACUACAAAUGUGGACUUACCAUAUGUUGUUUGUGCCCCGACAUUUCCCUAUCCAAAUAAAUAUUGGUCAAAAUAGUUAA